GAUGAACGCUAGCUACAGGCUUAACACAUGCAAGUCGAGGGGCAUCAGGAAGAAAGCUUGCUUUCUUUGCUGGCGACCGGCGCACGGGUGAGUAACACGUAUCCAACCUGCCCUUUACUCGGGGAUAGCCUUUCGAAAGAAAGGUUAAUACCCGAUGGGAUAAUGAUUCCGCAUGGUUUGAUUAUUAAAGGAUUCCGGUAAAGGAUGGGGAUGCGUUCCAUUAGGUUGUUGGUGAGGUAACGGCUCACCAAGCCUUCGAUGGAUAGGGGUUCUGAGAGGAAGGUCCCCCACAUUGGAACUGAGACACGGUCCAAACUCCUACGGGAGGCAGCAGUGAGGAAUAUUGGUCAAUGGGCGCGAGCCUGAACCAGCCAAGUAGCGUGAAGGAUGACUGCCCUAUGGGUUGUAAACUUCUUUUAUAUUAGAAUAAAGUGCAGUAUGUAUACUGUUUUGUAUGUAUAAUAUGAAUAAGGAUCGGCUAACUCCGUGCCAGCAGCCGCGGUAAUACGGAGGAUCCGAGCGUUAUCCGGAUUUAUUGGGUUUAAAGGGAGCGUAGGUGGACUGGUAAGUCAGUUGUGAAAGUUUGCGGCUCAACCGUAAAAUUGCAGUUGAUACUGUCAGUCUUGAG
rnacentral:rRNA from 1 species